AUUGAACGCUGGCGGCAGGCCUAACACAUGCAAGUCGAGCGAGCGGCGGACGGGUGUGUAAUGUAUGGGGCCUGCCCGAUAGAGGGGGAUAACUACUGGAAACGGUGGCUAAUACCGCAUACUAUCGGAUAACCUAUAUGGGAUUAGCUGGUAGGUGGGGUAACGGUUAACAUAGGCGACGAUCUCUAGCUGGUCGGAGAGGAUGAUCAGCCACACUGGGACUGAGAAACGGCCCAGACUCCGACGGAGGCAGAAGUGGGAAAUAUUGCACAAGGGGCGCAAGCCGGAUGCAGACAGGCCGCGUGUAUGAAGAGGGCCGUAGGGUUGUAAAGUACGUUCAGCGGGUAGGCGUUACCCACAGAAGAAGGACCGGCUAACUCCGUGCCAGCCGCCGCGGUAAUAC
rnacentral:rRNA from 1 species